UUGCAGUAUCUUUCAAAAGUACUUUUAAAAAAUAUUACUAAAUUAGCCCUUAAUCAAAUUUCCCAUUCUCCACCGUAAAUUUGUAGAGGUUGUAUAAGCAAUAACAUCGAUAAACUUAGAGGCCAAAGUAACAAUCUUUUCUUCAUCAAGUUUCCUUUUCUCAUUUAGGGUGAGUUUGGAUGGGUGGUGCGUUUACCUGCGGUUAGUGUAAAAACAACGGUGGUGGUGAUAUUAGAUACUGUAGCGAUACUGUAGCAUGAGACAAAAAGUAAGCUAAACACACCGCACCGCACCCAAUCGACCAUCCAAACCAACCUUUAGCAAUUCCAAAUCCAUCAAAAUAUCAACAUAUGUCGAACACAUUAAUAAAAUGUAUUGGUAAUUGCCCUGUCAUAUUGUCAUCACACCAUUAAUGACAGAUAGCGGCACACUUUCAAUAACCAAUAAUGUAACGAAUCGAUAAUGUUAGUGAUCAUAUAAUAAUUUUAAAAGUUUAUUGACCAAAAGAUAAUUUAAACUAUACAUAAGUGACCAAACUUGUAAUUUACCUUCUAAAAAUUUGCAUAACAAACAAAAUAGAAUUAUAAAAAAUAUUGAAUUCCUUUUUUAAUAAACAAAAAAGUUUUGAGGCUUCAUUGAAAAAAAUCCUCAAAAUAAUUAAAAAAAUUAAUUAAAUUCUUUAUCGAAAAUAACAUCUAAUUAAAUCAUUUAAAUCAAUAAUUUCACUUCAUUAAAUCUUAAAACAUAGUUUUCAAUCAAAACUCUUCGACAAAUAGAAAAGUAAUAGUUGACAUGAUAAUUGAAAGUUGACGUGGUCGCUAACAUGGGAAAAUGAUGAUGUGAUUGUAGACGAAAAACUCACUCAAUUACAAAACACUAUGUGUCAAGUUAAAAUUAUUGUGGGUCAAGCCAAAAUUACCUUGGGGUAAAAAAUGACUUCAUAUAUUAUGUCAUAAUUAUUUUCUCUAUUUUUUGUCAAAAAAAUAUUUUCUCUAAUUAAUUUAAUUUAAUUAAAGGGUAAAUAAUAAAAUUUAUAUUAUCACUAAUUAAUUAUAAAAUAAUUAAGUGAUAAUAUUAAAUGAUUAUUUUAUAUCUAAUUAGCUAAAAUUAAUAAGGGAUAAGUAAUAAAUAAGAGAAGGGUUAAUGUACUAUUUGCCUCCCAAAAUUGCAUCCAAUUAUCACUUUAGUACCUAAAGAAAAUUUUUAUCACUUUGGUACCUGAAGUUUUCAAUCCGU
rnacentral:lncRNA from 1 species